CUUUUAUAUUCCACUCCCACAGUACUUUGUGACAUCCCUAGAAUUUACUACUCUAUUCCAGAAAUCCAGUUUCCUAUCAUUUCUUCACAAAUUUAUUAUUCUUUUUCUAAAAAAUAUAAAAGCAUCUUGCUUUGUUCAUUUCUUCAGAUUUCUCUCUUGUGAGGAUACCUAUGCCCACGUAAACUUAAUAAAACUUGCAGGCUUUUUAGUUAUUCAGUCUUGUGUGAUUUUGGUUCCUAGAUGUAGCCAAGAACCCACAAAAAAGCCAAAAUUUGAUAACAAGAAUCAACAAAUGGGACUUACUUAAACUGAAAAGUUUUCUCUCAGCAAGAGAAACAAUAAAAGAGGUAAAUAGGGAGCCUACAUCAUGGGAACAAAUUUUUACUCCUCACACUUCAGAUAGAGCCCUAAUAUCCAGAGUGUACAAAGAACUCAAAAAAUUAAACAAUAAGAAAACAAAUAACCCAAUCAACAAAUGGGCCAAAGACCUGAACAGACACUUCUCAGAGGAGGACAUACAAUCAAUCAACAAGUACAUGAAAAAAUGCUCACCAUCUCUA
rnacentral:lncRNA from 1 species